AAAAAGUUAUAACGAUUCCCUUAUACCAUGAAAAGAGCUUAAAAUAUAUUAAUACAAAUGUAGAAUGUAGUUAGAAAUUUUAAAACAACACUAAAGAUUAUAGGCUUCAGUAUAUAAAACAUUUACAAAAAACUCAAUAUUUUCGUAGGGGUUAGCACAUAGAUUUUGAGAAAAUUUCAAAAAAUACGACAAUAUUUUUUUAAUGCAUAGUUGCAUCCUCUAGUAACGUAUGAUAAUGUUCAAAGAGGUUUGGAGCCUUUGUUGUCUCCGUUUUUCAACAAAAUAGUGAUUUUAUAGCGGUUAUUCCAUCGAUUUAGGGAGUAUUAUGAAGUUUUACUAAAGUAAUUGAUAAAAAAGUUAUAACGAUUCCCUUAUACCAUGAAAAGAGCUUAAAAUACAUUAAUACAAAUGUAGAAUGUGGUUAGAAAUUUUAAAACAACACUCAAGAUUAUAGGCUUCAGUAUAUAAAACAAUUACCAAAAACUCAAUAUUUUCGUAGGGGUUAACACAUAGAUUUUGAAAAAAUUUCAAAAAAUACGACAAUUUUGUUUUAAUAGUUGCAUCCUCUAGUAACGUAUGAUAAUGUUCAAAGAGGUUUGGAGCCUUUGUUGUCUCCGUUUUUCAACAAAAUAGUGAUUUUAUAGUGGUUAUUCCAUCGAUUUAGGGAGUAUUAUGAAGUUUUACUAAAGUAAUUGAUAAAAAAGUUAUAACGAUUCCCUUAUACCAUGAAAAGAGCUUAAAAUACAUUAAUACAAAUGUAGAAUGUGGUUAGAAAUUUUAAAACAACACUCAAGAUUAUAG